rnacentral:tRNA from 1 species
GGCUUUAUAGUUGAACAACAACGGAGAAUUGCAGAUUUUCAAGUGCUUUUUGGCUAAAGCC